AACCUCCGCAAUGUGAGAAAUCGCGACGGGGGGAUCCCAAGUGCUAUUCUUAACGGGAUAGCUUUUCUUAAGUGUAAAAAGCUUUUGGAAUAAGAGCUGGGCAAGACCGGUGCCAGCCGCCGCGGUAACACCGGCAGCUCUAGUGGUAACAAUUUUUAUUGGGCCUAAAGCGUCCGUAGCCGGUUUAAUAAGUCUCUGGUGAAAUCCUGCAGCUUAACUGUGGGAAUUGCUGGAGAUACUAUUAGACUUGAGACCGGGAGAGGUUAGAGGUACUCCCAGGGUAGAGGUGAAAUUCUGUAAUCCUGGGAGGACCGCCUGUUGCGAAGGCGUCUAACUGGAACGGUUCUGACGGUGAGGGACGAAAGUUAGGGGCGCGAACCGGAUUAGAUACCCGGGUAGUCCUAACUGUAAACGAUGCGGACUUGGUGUUGGGGUGGCUUUGAGCUGCUUCAGUGCCGAAGGGAAGCUGUUAAGUCCGCCGCCUGGGAAGUACGGUCGCAAGACUGAAACUUAAAGGAAUU
rnacentral:rRNA from 1 species